rnacentral:rRNA from 1 species
UACAUAGGGGGCGAGCGUUAUCCGGAAUUAUUGGGCGUAAAGCGUGCGUAGGCGGCUUUUUAAGUCUGUCGUGAAAGCCCACAGCUUAACUGUGGAGGGUCGAUGGAAACUGGAGAGCUUGAAUCUAGAAGAGGUAAGUGGAAUUCCAUGUGUAGCGGUAAAAUGCUUAGAUAUAUGGAGGAACACCAGUAGCGAAGGCGGCUUACUGGUCUAGAAUUGACGCUGAGGCACGAAAGCGUGGGUAGCAAACA